GCAGAGCCGCCGUGCCGGAGUUGCGGUAUUGGCCGAAAGGGGCCCUGGACCUAAUUUGGAAUUUUUUGGAACACGUGUAGGUACCAGUAGUGCGUUUCAGUUCCCCGGAAAAAAUUCAGGGAAAAUUGGGGACAGCUUGUAGGCGCACUGUGAAGCCGUGUUCGGACCCCUAAACGAGUAAGGACCCCUCACCCUAUUUUCUAUCACGGUAUUAAAGUUCAAUAAAUGAUAAAAUGAUAUUUCAUGAAUCAACGAAUGUAUGAAAUUGCUUAAGGUCGCUAAUGGAGCCCGAGUCUAGUGUGUUUGUCGAUUAACUGUGAUUUGGUCUGUUUUACAGUUUUAAAUGCAGUAUGAGGUUUGAUGUUUUCAUUUUAUAGUUUCGUGUGCAUAUUUUACUGUUUUAUUGAUUAUUGGUUGAAUGACUGAAAUACCGAUGCUGUAUGUUGUCUGUUUGGCAUGAAUUACUAUUUUGCUUAUCUAAAUGCGAAUUGAUGAUGCUGAUU
rnacentral:lncRNA from 1 species